AGGUUAAAAUUCAGUACCAGGUCACAGUUAAUGAUGUUGUAUCUUGCCAGUCAUACAGUGAGAAAAAAGAAACUAUGUUUCACUUUUCGGAAAAAAGUUUAUUAACGGACAAGAAACACUAUAUAAGGUUUGAAACUUUGGCUGAUUCUUAUUGCAGCAGAAUUCACCCAGUGGCAGGGCAGUCAGUUUCUCUCUUAAUUCCAAAUGAGGCAUCUGAACUGGGACUUUGCGGAGAACUUGUUAUGGUUCCACUGGCAGCUUUGUGUCCUUGUUUCAGGCAACACCCUAAUAGACCUUCAAGAAUAUCAUCUGUCUCAAUAUCC